AGGCUAUGACUGAGCACAUUACAGUGAGGAUCACCAUCCAUCUUAAUAUUUGUUUUUAGGCAACUCAGGCACAAGCUUGUGAGUCUGAGACUGGAUGAAGGGCCUUGUUUGUGAGUCUGAGACUGGAUGAGGGGCAAACAUUUGACUGUGAGUCUGAGACUUGAUGAAGGAUCAUUAGACAGCUGAGUUCGAUCGGUGUCCGGGUCAUAGGGUGGAAGAUGUAGGAGCGAGGAAACGAUUUCGCUGCGAUUGGAGAUGCAGAUCCACCGGUCAGUGUGGUUUGGCCUAUUAAACGGAUAGUUCACCCAAAAAUGAAAAUUCUGUCAUUAAUUACUCACUCUCAUGUCGUUC